AGUGAACGCUGGCGGCAUGCCUUACACAUGCAAGUCGAACGGUAACGCGGGGCAACCUGGCGACGAGUGGCGAACGGGUGAGUAAAGUAUCGGAACGUGCCCCAAUAGUGGGGGAUAGCCCCGGCGAAAGCCGGAUUAAUACCGCAUGAGACCUGAGGGUGAAAGCGGGGGACUCGCAAGAGCCUCGCGCUGUUGGAGCGGCCGAUAUCAGGAUUAGGGUAGUUGGUGGGGUAAAGGCCUACCAAGCCGACGAUCUGUAGCUGGUCUGAGAGGACGACCAGCCACACUGGGACUGAGACACGGCCCAGACUCCUACGGGAGGCAGCAGUGGGGAAUUUUGGACAAUGGGCGCAAGCCUGAUCCAGCCAUGCCGCGUGCGGGAAGAAGGCCUCGGUGUAACGCUUUAGUCAGGAGAAGUACUUCGUAGCGUAAUACCUACGGGGGAGUGGACGGUACCUCGAGAAUAAGCACCGGCUAACUACGUAG
rnacentral:rRNA from 1 species